rnacentral:lncRNA from 1 species
GGAAGGCGGGGCUAGGCCGUCAUUCAACUUGGCCCCGCCGAUCAGGGCGGGACUACGCGCGCCCUGGGCCCGCCCAGGAAGGUUCCGCAGGUAGAAGGCAGGCGCCCGGUCUACGACGUCAUCGCGCUGACGCCGGCGUCCACUCGGCCCCGCCUGCUCCGUUGAAAAUGCCGAACCUAACAUGGCGGCGCGCGCUCGGCCCGCUUCACCCUGGUGUUUCCUCUCGCGCGGGCACUCUUCAGAGAGGAGAGACCCUCUUGGACAAGAGAGGCAGGCUGCAAAAGCCCACUGAACGUGCUUCUGAUAUUCAGGACAUGUCUUCCUUCUCCACCCUGAAGAUUCAUCUCCGAGACAGUUCUCAGUCCCCUCAAUGGGCUGGAAAACCCCAGCUUCAUGUUCUGGCCUCUGCACUGUGGAGUGUCAAAUUCGAUGUCCAAACCUUCACAGCUACCUCUUUCAGCUGUGUGUGACUCUUUGUGACCCCCUGGACUGAGCCCACCAGGCUCCUCUGGUCCAUGGGAUUCUCCAGGUCAGAAUACUGGAAUGGGUUGCCUUGCCCUUCUUCAGGGGAUCUUCCCGACUCAGGGAUCGAACCCAGGUCUCCCACAUUGCAGGCGAUUCUUUACCGUCUGAGCCACCAGGGAAACCAGCACAGAGAGGAUGUAAUAAUAAAGG